UUUGGCUUCUACAAGUCUCUGAUGACACUCAUGCACUUUGUGGUGACUGAUGGAGGAGAGAGAACCGUCUACUUCCACAACAUAUCGUCCAGUGACACCAUCAAGCUCAGGGAGGAUCUGAGGAACCUGCUCCGCAUCAAGAACUUCCUGCCUCUGAUGAACAGACUUUUCAUCGAGUUCGAGAGCGUUUUGGACGCCGAUCUGUACGGGAUUCGGCUGAGCGGCCAGAUGUUUGCCCAGAAGUACACGGUCUACAGGAUGAAGUCCCCCAGCAGUGCAGCGGAACCAUCCACAGGUGACGCUCCUGCCGGUUUAUGCAACUUCACCCGACUCCAGAUUCCUCUAAAGUCCCGCUCCCAUCAUCUUCUGAUCUAUUCUGAAAGCGUUCCCAGUGGUCUUUGAACUCUGAUGAUGCUGUUUUUAGAGCAAAUAAAAAAAAACGUAUAGUUCCUGCAGAGCGGCAGGAGUGCUGUAGAAAUUCACCUCUGAGUUUUGGGCCCCUCCCUCAAGGAUUUGAAUAAAAAUACUCAUUUUCUGAAUAUAUGUCCUCGACAUCAGGAAAAUGCCACAAGAACACGUUAAAAAAAGGCAUUUUUAUCAGAGCGUGACUUAAAGUUUACUAAUAAAUUCCAGUUUUUUAUUCUUCCCUUAAACUUUAUUUACAAAAAAAACAGUUUUGUUUUUUAACAGUAAAUGCAGUUGGAGAAUUUCCUUACUGAUCAUAUUUUUGCAUGAAUAUGUUCAACACUAAAGCUCCGGAAUGGCGUACGCCUCCUUUUUGGAUGACCAUGAAAACGGCGCCGUUCCUGUACCCGACAGCGACGCACUCCUUCAUCAGUCCAGCUUGUGUGUCCGUUGAUCAGCCGGCUGACAUCGUGAAAGCGGCCGUCAUUGGCUCAGAGUUUGCCACGGUCAUGCUGAGCGGUCUACCGGAAGACGGCUACACCCACGAGGACGUGGCCAAGCUGGUGUGGCCGUUCUUCAGCACGCCCAACUUCCAGGUCCUGAACCAGAACCUGUACGUCCUGCCCCUGCAGAGGAGGGCAUUUGUGUUUUUCAGCAACUGGACGGCGUGCUCCGAGUUUCUCAAAGAACACGUCCAAACCCCCGUUUCUCUCAAAGGUCAAACUCUGAGUGUGCAGGUCGUCUUGGAGAAGAUUCACCCGGGCUCCAACCAGAGCACUGUGUACAAGAGUCUGAUGAAAUGGAGCAGUCCUCUGAAGCCAGACCCAGAGUUUCUGAAUAACCGGCUGCUGUCAGUGGAGGUGACUGACACUUCAGCAGCCCUGGUCAUGACGAUCAUGAAGGUGGUGGAUUCCAUAUCUCCUUUCGUUAACUUCCUGCCCCUGGCCAAUCGGAUCUACGUUGAGAUGCUUUCCGUCAUGGCCGUGAUCGACGUUCAGCUGAAGAUUUCCUCCAUGAAGCCCUCGGAGCUGCCCUCCGACUGGAAGAAAGUCAAGCGUAUUGAACCCAUGAGUACCCUACAGCAGCGGCUGAUCAAGUGUAGCCAAACCCCUCUUUACCUUAAACCCGACCCCCCACCAAAAACAAAGAAGAAGAAGAAAAAGAAAAGCCAAAGAAAAGCCCACAUGGAAGCCGGUCCCGUCACAGCAGGCGACUGCGUCGACUACAUCGCCCACAACCGCGUCCCCCGCACCUCGGCGGCCGCCGCCAGGGUCUUGAUAGCAGCCGAGUUAACCGAAGAAGCACAAAGAAAAACCGGACCCGGAGUGCCGGCAAACACCGGAACCUCUCCACACCUUUCUGAGAUGGGGUCACAGCUAACCGAUUCUAGAGAAGACUCUGCUCAGGAAGAGAAGAAAGGAACUGGUGAGGAGGAGGAGGAGGAGGAGGAGGGAACGCUCCAAGGAGGUCAAAACCUUGCAGGCCCACCUAAGAAUGAAGAGAUGAAGGGAGAGCAAAAGGAUGAAGACUUGGAGGAAAAUCAGCAAAACAAUUCUUCUCAGGGAUUUUCCAACUCAUGUCCUGAAGGCGAGGAUUUGGAGCCAGGCCUCACCAUCAGACAGGUUCCUGAGAAACCAGCAGCUGACGACGACCAGCAUCAAAGUCCAAGAGGAGACGAAGGAAACGGGGAGGAAAUCUGUUUAGAGUCUUCAACCUCCAAAGAGGAAAGGCUUCAAGACUUAUCUGGAGAUUUUAUGGAGCAAGAAAGAAGUGAACCUGCAGCUGCCGAUCCCAUCGGAGCAGGAGACGACCGUCUGACACUUGUAACCAUGACGAAUCAGGCCAGAGAUCCUGAGGAAGGUCAGUCACCUACAGAGACUGAAGAUGAGGUUCAACAAGAAACCAUGGAUCAUGGUGGAGAAGAGGACCAACAGGAGGGAGAGGAACCUGCAUCCCUCAUUUCCAGCCCUGCAGGCUCCAUAGGAAGGAGAAAAACCACAGACCUCGAGACGCCGACGGGAGGGAACUUCCUCGCUGACCACGCCGAGAAACUUCCAAACAUUGAAGCUACAGCUGCUCCUAAAGAGGCUCGGACAGAAACACCGGAGGAACGCGUUUUUGGAGACGAUCAGCCGACAGCAGCAGGGAAACCAAACAGAAGCCUUCCAGCUGCUACCGGGGGCUCAAUGCAGACGGACGAGGACUCCAGAGAAGCAAACGACGAAGAAGACGAGGCUCCAGACGAAGUUAAAACUUGUGGCUCCACAGCCGAGGAGACGCUGCUCCUAGAGGAGCGUUCAGAAGAACGGGCCAUAGAGGAAGCUGCUGUUGAGGUGAACCAGGAAGAAGAAUCCAGGCGGGAGGAAGAGAAGGCGGACUUCACACCAACGGAGGUGAUGCCCUGA
rnacentral:lncRNA from 1 species